rnacentral:rRNA from 1 species
GUUGAACGCUGGCGGAAUGCUUUACACAUGCAAGUCGAACGGCAGCACGGACUUCGGUCUGGUGGCGAGUGGCGAACGGGUGAGUAAUGUAUCGGAACGUGCCCAGUCGUGGGGGAUAACGUAGUGAAAAUUACGCUAAUACCGCAUACGAUCUAUGGAUGAAAGCGGGGGAUCGCAAGACCUCGCGCGAUUGGAGCGGCCGAUGUCAGAUUAGGUAGUUGGUGGGGUAAAGGCCCACCAAGCCAACGAUCUGUAGCUGGUCUGAGAGGACGACCAGCGACACUGGAACUGAGACACGGUCCAGACUCCUACGGGAGGCAGCAGUGGGGAAUUUUGGACAAUGGGCGAAAGCCUGAUCCAGCCAUUCCGCGUGCAGGAUGAAGGCCCUCGGGUUGUAAACUGCUUUUGUACAGAACGAAAAGGUUUCUACUAAUACUAGGAGCUCAUGACGGUACUGUAAGAAUAAGCACCGGCUAACUACGUGCCAGCAGCCGCCGUAA